rnacentral:rRNA from 1 species
AGAGAGAAGCGAAGCCGCGAGGCAGAGCAAAUCUGAAAAAAGACAUCCCUAGUUCGGAUUGUAGGCUGCAACUCGCCUACAUGAAGCUGGAAUUGCUAGUAAUCACAGGUCAGCAUACUGUGGUGAAUACGUUCCCGGGCCUUGUACACACCGCCCGUCAAGCCAUGGGAGCCGGGGGUACCUGAAGUGCGUAACCGCGAGGAUCGCCCUAGGGUAAAACUGGUGACUGGGGCUAAGUCGUAACAAGGUAUC